rnacentral:rRNA from 1 species
UGAGGAAUAUUGGUCAAUGGGGGCAACCCUGAACCAGCCAAGUCGCGUGAAGGAUGAAGGUCUUAUGGAUUGUAAACUUCUUUUAUACAGGAAUAAAUUGGGGGACGUGUCCCCUUUUGCAUGUACUGUAUGAAUAAGGAUCGGCUAACUCCGUGCCAGCAGCCGCGGUAAUACGGAGGAUCCGAGCGUUAUCCGGAUUUAUUGGGUUUAAAGGGUGCGCAGGCGGGAUGUUAAGUCGGCGGUGAAAUUUUGCAGCUCAACUGUAAAAGUGCCUUAGAUACUGGCUUCCUUGAGUGUAGAUGAAGUAGGCGGAAUUUGUGGUGUAGCGGUGAAAUGCUUAGAUAUCACGAGGAACUCCGAUUGCGCAGGCAGCUUACUAAACUACAACUGACGCUCAUGCACGAAGGCGUGGGGAUCAAACA